CUCGUAGGCGGCUCGUCGCGUCCGGUGUGAAAGUCCAUCGCUUAACGGUGGAUCUGCGCCGGGUACGGGCGGGCUGGAGUGCGGUAGGGGAGACUGGAAUUCCCGGUGUAACGGUGGAAUGUGUAGAUAUCGGGAAGAACACCAAUGGCGAAGGCAGGUCUCUGGGCCGUUACUGACGCUGAGGAGCGAAAGCGUGGGGAGCGAACAG
rnacentral:rRNA from 1 species